GUCAGAUGAUUUGAAUCAAUAACCUGAUGCUCUGUGAAGUAUGACAGUUACAGCAUGUUAGAGUUCUGAUGGCA
ensembl:snoRNA SNORD28 Small nucleolar RNA SNORD28